rnacentral:rRNA from 1 species
UACGUAGGGGGCAAGCGUUGUCCGGAAUCAUUGGGCGUAAAGAGCGCGUAGGCGGCCUGAUAAGUCCGAUGUGAAAUCCCCGGGCUCAACCUGGGAAUUGCAUUCGAUACUGGAUAGCUAGAGUUCGGCAGAGGGAAGUGGAAUUUCGGGUGUAGCGGUGAAAUGCGUAGAUAUCCGAAGGAACAUCAGUGGCGAAAGCGACUUCCUGGACCAGAACUGACGAUCAGGCACGAAAGCGUGGGGAGCGAACAGG